rnacentral:rRNA from 1 species
GAUGAACGCUGGCGGCGUGCCUAAUACAUGCAAGUCGAGCGAACGGACGAGAAGCUUGCUUCUCUGAUGUUAGCGGCGGACGGGUGAGUAACACGUGGAUAACCUACCUAUAAGACUGGGAUAACUUCGGGAAACCGGAGCUAAUACCGGAUGAUAUUUUGAACCGCAUGGUUCAAAAGUGAAAGACGGUCUUGCUGUCACUUAUAGAUGGAUCCGCGCUGCAUUAGCUAGUUGGUAAGGUAACGGCUUACCAAGGCAACGAUGCAUAGCCGACCUGAGAGGGUGAGCGGCCACACUGGAACUGGGACACGGUCCAGACUCCUACGGGAGGCAGCAGUAGGGAAUCUUCCGCAAUGGGCGAAAGCCUGACGGAGCAACGCCGCGUGAGUGAUGAAGGUCUUCGGAUCGUAAAACUCUGUUAUUAGGGAAGAACAUAUGUGUAAGUAACUGUACACAUCUUGACGGUACCUAAUCAGAAAGCCACGGCUAACUACGUG